rnacentral:lncRNA from 14 species
AGGAAAAAUAAGAAUGAGACAGUAAAGGCAAAGGUUUAAGCUGUUUGCACUACAAAAGAAAAAUUCGUAUGUUGAAACAGUGAAAAUAAAAAUACUGCAGAACUGAGUCAUUGCAACUGAGAUGAAUGCCCAUAAAAAAGUACAAAUCACAAAAAACCCCUCAGAAACAGGAUCACUGUGUGUAUCAUCAGCAAUGCUUACAGAUUCAUCAUGGCUCACAACAAAGCAUCUGAAACAAACUACAUUAAGGAGCUCUAUCUAAGGCAACAAGCAAAGGCAACAACAGUGAGAAAUUUCUGCACUGGUGAAAGAGGGAGCGUAUGGAGACUGACUGUUUUAGCUAAUAAAAUGUCUAAAGCUUGAUGGAGGAAAUGGCUUCUGGAUAAUGCACUUCUAAAUAGAAUUAGAAUAUAUUCACCUCAUCUGGAUUUAAUGAGUUGGACAGCAUUUAUUUUCUCCAAAUAAUGAGACUUACUCAGUUCUGUUGAAAUUCAACAGCCACAGGAAAAAAAAAAUCCUAUGAAUUGUGUAAAGCAAAUACAAGGAUAGAGCAUAGCAUGAUUUACUUUUUGCUGACGUGAUUAUAAAUAAGAUAAAACUUAUACACAUGUACUGAAAAAACACCGAAUACUCAGACUUCGGAACUUGUCAUCAAGUUGGUAUGAUAUUAGUUUGUUUUUUUUUUCCAUUCUAUGCAUUGAAAUAUGUAUUCAUCUCAAGUCUAUUUCUGGAGAUUUUUCUACAUUGAAAGAGCCAUGUGGAUAUAACUAAUUACAAGCAACCUAUUCAGCUGUUAUCCCCAGAGCUGAAAAGCUGCAAGAGUUAAUUGUAAAAUGCACUGA